GAGUUUGAUCCUGGCUCAGAUUGAACGCUGGCGGCAGGCCUAACACAUGCAAGUCGAGCGGUAGAGAGAAGCUUGCUUCUCUUGAGAGCGGCGGACGGGUGAGUAAUGCCUAGGAAUCUGCCUGGUAGUGGGGGAUAACGCUCGGAAACGGACGCUAAUACCGCAUACGUCCUACGGGAGAAAGCAGGGGACCUUCGGGCCUUGCGCUAUCAGAUGAGCCUAGGUCGGAUUAGCUAGUUGGUGAGGUAAUGGCUCACCAAGGCGACGAUCCGUAACUGGUCUGAGAGGAUGAUCAGUCACACUGGAACUGAGACACGGUCCAGACUCCUACGGGAGGCAGCAGUGGGGAAUAUUGGACAAUGGGCGAAAGCCUGAUCCAGCCAUGCCGCGUGUGUGAAGAAGGUCUUCGGAUUGUAAAGCACUUUAAGUUGGGAGGAAGGGCAGUAAAUUAAUAACUUUGCUGUUUUGACGUUACCGACAGAAUAAGCACCGGCUAACUCUGU
rnacentral:rRNA from 1 species